GAUGAACGCUGGCGGCGUGCCUAACACAUGCAAGUCGAGCGGGAAAUGUCUGAUUGAAACUUCGGUAGAUUGAAGACAUGGAGAGCGGCGGACGGGUGAGUAACACGUAUGCAACCUACUUCAACAGGAGAUAACCCGUUGAAAGACGGACUAAUACUCCAUGACACAGGGUCCCGCAGUGGGGAUAUUUGUUAAAGAUUAGUCGGUUAGAAG
rnacentral:rRNA from 1 species